CAGAAUCCUACACCAAUUUCAGCCACGAUGCUCCGCGAAUCACAUUGACUAAGUUUUUACUGAAUUUUUGGUGAUUUUUGCAGCUUAAUCGCUCUCCGAAAAUCGCGAUUUUUUCGCCAGUUGUUUGCCUGCGAGAGAGAAAGAGGGAGAGAUGAGAUAAGUACUAAAAUGUCAUCAAUCUAUGACGUCAUAAGGAUCAUUUUAUAUCGGUCAUUGAGGGGCAUUUAUGUCAUUUAUAAAAUAUACGAGAAAAAGUAAGGCGCGGGGUUUAGUCCCACAUCAAUUUUUUGGGCGAGUUUCACGCGCAUAUAUUAUAGGCGGUUGUUUACCCAACAAUAGGUACAAAUCACCCGUGUGUGUACGUGGAAGGGGAGUGACGCACACGUCAGCCGCUUGAGCACCUAGCUCGCGGUCUGCUUCACCAGCCACUUGAGCCUUGAGCUCACGGUAUGGUCCUUAGUCACUCGAGCCUUGAGCUUGCAGUCCUUAGCCGCUCAGCGGCUCCACCCAACUGAGCCUCCGACCCGCUAGCGGGCUCAGUUGGCUAGCAGAUAUUUUUGCUUUUUUCUUAAAUAUUUUUUUUUCAUUUUUCUCAACAAAAUAAAAUUAUAAAAUCAUGUAAUUAAGUAAAAAUUCAUAUUAAUCAACUAGAAACUACUUCUCACAAUUUAACAUAAAAAUAAGUCUAUUUAUCAUGAGUUAAGACUAAAAGCAUCAUCUUACUAAAUUAUUAACUCAUGAUAAUGAAGACUUAUCAGGAUGCUUGAGUGAACAAAUAACUAUCUUCAUAUAGCUAGAGUUUUAUCCCCAGGAAGUGAGUGGCAAGUUCCAAAUCUUUGAGUGAGAACUCUGAACUGAGAGAUCUAAUGAGUUGCUCAAUUUGGGACGUGGAUGGUCCAAGAACUAAAAUAUUGUCAACAUCAAUGAGAAUGUAAAUAGGCCCCGAGUGUUUGAAGAAUAGAGACAUGUUAGUCUUAUAUCCUGUGAAGCCGAGAUGAAUGAGCUAGCUGAUUAGUUUAUGAAACCACUUGCACAAUGCUUAUUUGAGUCCAUAUAAUGACUUUUACAAUUGACACACAUGAUCAAGGUAUGUAGGAUGAGUAAAUCCCUAAGGUGUUCCAUAUAGAUAAGCUCUUUCAAAUCUUCAUGAAGAAAGGCAUUUGAUAUGUCAAGUUGCCAAAUCUAUCAUUAUUAACUAAUGGCCAAUGACAAAAGGAGUCAUAUCGUCAUCACUUUGACCACUAGACUGAAUGUCUCGUGAUAGUCAACCCUUUCUUCUUGAUGAAACCCCUUUGCCAUUAAUCAUGCCUUGAAUUAGUUGACUGCUUUGUCUGGUAAGUGUUUGACUUAAUAGAUCUACUUACAGUUGAUUACUAGACAAUUGGGGGGUGAGGAACAAGCCACAAGGUUUGAUUAUGAAGUAAUGCUUGAUAUUCCUCAUUCAAUGUUGUGACCCAUUUAGACUGUUUGGAUAUAGAAGAAAAAUUACAAGGCACAAGACACUAAGUGGAAGUGAUAGAAAGGCAAUGUGAAAGAGGAUAUCUAACGGGUGUGAUGAAAUCAAGAGAGUGAAGGAUGUUAGUAAGAAGUUUGGUUUUGAUAAGUGUGGGUGAGGCUUGAUGAUCAAGAUUUAAGGCAAAAAAGGAUCAUUAGAGGGAAUGUGGUCGGAGGGUAAAGAAGGAACAUUGUUGGCUAAGUCAAGGUCAACAGUGAGACAUGGUGGAGGAGAGUUGAAUUUAUCAAUGGAGGAGGAUGUUGUGGAAAGAUUUGGUUCAUGUGAGGUAGUUUGUGAAACAAAGGUUAUAGGUAUUGUAAGUAGGUACGAGCCCAAAAUUCUAUGGGUGGGUAUUGUGAAAGGUUAAAUGUGACUAGUUUUCUUUACAUAUGGGUAGAUGUCUUCAUGAAAGAUGACAUCUUGUGAUAUCUACAAGCAACCUGAUGAUAGAGAUAAAUACUUAUAACCAUAAUAAAAAGUACUGUAACUAAGGAACAUGCACCUUUUAGACCUUGAGUCUAGUUUAGUAGUUGCAUAGUGGUGAAGAUAAGGAUAGCAUGAGCAUCCAAAGUUUUUCAAGAACUAAUAUUCAAGUGGGCGAUUGAAAAUCAAGUGAUACUAAGAUCUAUAGCUCAAAAGAGGUGUUGGCAUCUUAUUGAUCAAGUAGGCUGUUGUGCAAACAAUUGCAUCCUAGAACAUAUGCGAAAGUGAUACAUUUUUUAACAAAGAAAGGAGUCUCCAUUAGAUGCCGGUGUUUUCUCUCAACAAUCCUACUUUGAGCUGAUGUGUGUGGACAUGACACUGAUUUAUGCCUUAAUCUUGAGAUAUUUACUUAGGGAUUGAUAUUCUCCUCUUUGGUCAAACUAAAAGUUGUAAAUUUUAAACUUUAAUUGUCAUUCAACAUGAUGAUGAAAGUCAACAAAUAUUUGGAAGACAUCACUCUUGAGUUUAAGUGAAGAAAGCCACAUAUAUCUUAAGAAAUCACCUACAAACAAGAUAUAGUAUCGAUGACUGAGAUGUGAUGUUGUCGGUGAUGGUCCCUAUAAAUUUGAAUGGAUCAAUUUGAGAGGUGCACUUACUCGAUACGAAGAAUGGAGAAAUGGUAGUCUGUGAGAUUUGAUGAAAGACAUGUAUCACACACUAAAUUUUUAUUAAAAGUGAGUGUGGAGAGCCCAUGAGCAGCAAUUAUAUAACGAAGAAUUUUGAAGUUCAAAUGUCCGAGACAUUGGUGUCACAUGUCCAAAGCCACCUUUUAUCUUAUGAAGGCUCUCGAGUUAUUAGAGUGACUAAAAAGGUGGAGCCUAUCCUUAACUAUUCCCCAAAGAAGUGGUGUCCUAGUUGUUUCGUCCUUCACAAUAUAAUAAUUGGGAUAAAAUUCAACAUAGAUAUGGUUGUCAUUAGUAAGUUGGAACUUAGAUAGAAGAUCUUCUCAAUUUUCAGAAUAUGAAGGACAUUAAUGAGCUACAAAGGAUAUGAUCGUGACAAUAGGAAUGAGGAACUAAUAAUAUGAAUUGAUGGACUUGUUCUAUAUUCGACUUGAAGCUGAUCAUUUAUGUGGUAUAAUGUCAAAUCCACUAAUGUCUGUGGAUUAUUAGUAACAUGGUGAGUAGCUCUACUAUUUGGAUACCAUGGUGAAUCUUCCAUUGGUGUUGUGGCUAGAUGCAUGCUUAGAUUAAAGACUUGUGAUCUUGGUUGUGUAUUCGAGGAGAAAUUUUGUUGUCCAUAAAAGUUCUUGUUGAAUCUCUCUCAACAAUCUUGUGCUCGGUGACCAAAUUGCCCACAAAUUUGGCACCACAACAUGUAUCAGCCCUUAUUAUGCCCUUUCCCUCAAUUAUUUCAUCCUCUAGAUCUUCCUUGACUGUGAUCAGGUGCAUUGAAUUAAGUUUGAUUUGUAGUGAGAGGAAAGUCUAAGGUGAUGGUAUCUAUUAGAGGGUUGGAAAAUGUUACCAAUUCAUCAUGUGAAUUGACUUGGGCAACUAUAUCUUUAAAGCAAAGAUUAUGUAGAUUUGAGGUAAUUCUAAUAGUGGAUUCCAAAUAAAAUGGUCCAAGACCUUUAAGCAAGGUAUAAAUGGAAAUAGUUUCCUGAACAAAAUGUUCGACAGUUGUCAGUUUAUCGCACAUUCACCAAAUGUCUUGCACAUAACUAGCAAUAGACCUAAUACCUUUUAAUAUAUUGUGAAAAUGAUUUUGUACGUGCAUAAUGCCUGAUGGAUUUGUAGAUGAGUAAUUCUCAGUUAUUUCUUCCCAAGUUUCUUUUGAUGUAGUCCUUCUAAUCACACAGGGCAACACACCUUCAGAGAGAGAGGAAACAAUUAGAGAAAGCACUUGUUGAUCCUAAUGCCAACACAUAUGAUAUGUUGGAUUCAUAGUGAUUUCUCUUUACAAGUCCAAUUGCAUGGCAAUUGGAGGAUCUUGAGUGAGAAUGUGCGCAAAAUCAUAACAAUUUAGUAGAAGGAGUAGUUAUGUCUUCAAUAGAAGAAAAUACUAACGUGUGAGCUUGACAUGGAUGUGUAGCCCUAUCGGAUUUGAUGUAGCUGACUGUGGGAUGGAGACAACUUAAUUGUCUUGAAAUUGCGUGAUCUCUAUGGACAUCGUGGAGUCCGCCGUGUCAAGAACGUUGCUCUGCCG
rnacentral:lncRNA from 1 species